AUGCUGAGAGUACAACUAGUACAACUGCCUUCCAAGCAGGAAGUCCAAAUACAGGUUAGCAUA
rnacentral:tRNA from 1 species